CGGCAACACGUGUUGCUUGUAAUAAGAAAAAACUAAGGUCAAGUGCAGUAUAUCUACAUCCUAUAGCUGAGGAAACGACGCGUAAAAAGUUCUCCAAGAUGUCAGACUACAAAGGCGGACAGGAAAAUUAUGCAACGUGCAGUACUAAACUACUAACAACUAUGUCAUACGAGUUCUUUUUCUUUGCCGGCCUAAAAUAUAUAAA